GGUGAACGCUGGCGGCGUGCUUAAGACAUGCAAGUCGAACGACAGUCUUCGGACUGUAGUGGCGCACGGGUGAGUAACGCGUAACUGACCUACCCCAAAGUCGCGGAUAACGAUUCGAAAGAAUCGCUAAUACGUGAUGUGCUGUCAGAUUGUGUUCUGCCAGUAAAGAUUGAUUGCUUUGGGAUGGGGUUGCGUUCCAUCAGCUAGUUGGUGGGGUAAAGGCCCACCAAGGCGACGACGGAUAGCCGGCCUGAGAGGGUGGCCGGCCACAGGGGCACUGAGACACGGGUCCCACUCCUACGGGAGGCAGCAGUUAGGAAUCUUCCACAAUGGGCGAAAGCCUGAUGGAGCGACGCCGCGUGAGGGAUGAAGGUCUUCGGAUCGUAAACCUCUGAAUCAGGGACGAAAGACACUUCGGUGGGAUGACGGUACCUGAGUAAUAGCACCGGCUAACUCCGUGCCAGCCGCCGCCGUAAUAC
rnacentral:rRNA from 1 species